GGCUGAUUGCCUUUUUUGGAUUUUUCUAUGAAAAGAAAAGAAGCUAGAUAAUUAAAAAAAAUGUAUAAACUAGGUUGCCUCCCAGGAGCGCUAAGUUUAAAGUCUUCAGUCAGACUGAACUGAAUAUCAUGACGGUACUAGAUCCAUUAGAUCAACAGAUUCAAUUAAUUCUUCAUCGCUAAUUUUAUUUUUGUAAGGUUUCAAUCACUGACCAUUUACUUUAAAGGUG
rnacentral:lncRNA from 1 species